rnacentral:tRNA from 1 species
GGAAUUUGGCUCAGUGGUAGAGCGCUUGCCUAGCAAGCACAAGGCCCUGGGUUCGGUUCCCAGCUCCG